GUCACCGUAGCUUAAAACAAAGCACUAGUCUUGUAAACUAGAGAGUGAAGAAUAAACCUCUUCCUGCGACA
rnacentral:tRNA from 1 species